rnacentral:rRNA from 1 species
CGGAGGGGGCUAGCGUUGUUCGGAAUUACUGGGGCGUAAAAGCGCACGUAGGCGGACUGGAAAGUUGGGGGUGAAAUCCCGGGGCUCAACCUCGGAACUGCCUUCAAAACUAUCAGUCUGGAGUUCGAGAGAGGUGAGUGGAAUUCCGAGUGUAGAGGUGAAAUUCGUAGAUAUUCGGAGGAACACCAGUGGCGAAGGCGGCUCACUGGCUCGAUACUGACGCUGAGGUGCGAAAGCGUGGGGAGCAAACAGGAUUU